AGAGUUUGAUCCUGGCUCAGAUUGAACGCUGGCGGCAUGCCUUACACAUGCAAGUCGAACGGCAGCGCGGGAGCUUGCUCCUGGCGGCGAGUGGCGAACGGGUGAGUAAUACAUCGGAACGUGUCCGUUUGUGGGGGACAACCAGCCGAAAGGUUGGCUAAUACCGCAUAAGACCUGAGGGUGAAAGCCGGGGACCGCAAGGCCUGGCGCAGACGGAGCGGCCGAUGAUUGAUUAGCUUGUUGGCGGGGUAAAGGCCCACCAAGGCGACGAUCAAUAGCUGGUCUGAGAGGACGACCAGCCACACUGGAACUGAGACACGGUCCAGACUCCUACGGGAGGCAGCAGUGGGGAAUUUUGGACAAUGGGGGCAACCCUGAUCCAGCCAUGCCGCGUGCGGGAAGAAGGCCUUCGGGUUGUAAACCGCUUUUGUCAGGGACGAAAAGGGACGGGUUAAGAGCUAGUUCCGCUGACGGUACCUGAAGAAUAAGCACCGGCUAACUACGUGCCAGCAGCCGCGGUAAUACGUAGGGUGCAAGCGUUAAUCGGAAUUACUGGGCGUAAAGCGUGCGCAGGCGGUUGGGUAAGACAGAUGUGAAAUCCCCGGGCUUAACCUGGGAACUGCAUUUGUGACUGUCCGACUGGAGUACGUCAGAGGGGGGUGGAAUUCCGCGUGUAGCAGUGAAAUGCGUAGAUAUGCGGAAGAACACCGAUGGCGAAGGCAGCCCCCUGGGACGCAACUGACGCUCAUGCACGAAAGCGUGGGGAGCAAACAGGAUUAGAUACCCUGGUAGUCCACGCCCUAAACGAUGUCUGCCGGUUGUUGGGGAUUUCUAUCUUCAGUAACGAAGCUAACGCGUGAAGCAGACCGCCUGGGGAGUACGGUCGCAAGAUUAAAACUCAAAGGAAUUGACGGGGACCCGCACAAGCGGUGGAUGAUGUGGAUUAAUUCGAUGCAACGCGAAAAACCUUACCUAGCCUUGACAUGUCAGGAAUGCUUCGUAAAUGGGGCAGUGCCCGCAAGGGAACCUGAGCACAGGUGCUGCAUGGCUGUCGUCAGCUCGUGUCGUGAGAUGUUGGGUUAAGUCCCGCAACGAGCGCAACCC
rnacentral:rRNA from 1 species